GACAGAGGGUGCAAGCGUUGUUCGGAAUUACUGGGCGUAAAGCGCGUGUAGGCUGUUAGGUAAGUCGGAUGUGAAAGCCCUGGGCUCAACCCAGGAAGUGCAUUCGAAACUCCCGAACUGGAGUCCUGGAGAGGAAGGCGGAAUUCUCGGUGUAGAGGUGAAAUUCGUAGAUGUCGAGAGGAACAUCGGUGGCGAAGGCGGCCUUCUGGACAGUGACUGACGCUGAGACGCGAAAGCGUGGGGAGCAAACAGG
rnacentral:rRNA from 1 species